rnacentral:rRNA from 1 species
CCUACGGGUGGCAGCAGUGGGGGAUAUUGCACAAUGGGGGAAACCCUGAUGCAGCGACGCCGCGUGGGUGAAGAAGCGCCUCGGCGCGUAAAGCCCUGUCAGCAGGGAAGAAAAUGACGGUACCUGAAGAAGAAGCACCGGCUAACUACGUGACAGCAGCCGCGGUAAUACGUAGGGGGCAAGCGUUAGCCGGAUUUACUGGGUGUAAAGGGGGCGGAGACGGCGCUGCAAGCCAGGAGUGAAAGCCCGGGGCCCAACCCCGGGACUGCGCUUGGAACUGCGUGGCUAGAGUGCAGGAGGGGCAGGCGGAAUUCCUGGUGUAGCGGUGAAAUGCGUAGAUAUCAGGAGGAACACCGGUGGCGAAGGCGGCCUGCUGGACUGCAACUGACGUUGAGGCCCGAAAGCGUGGGGAGCAAACAGGAUUAGAUACCCCAGUAGUC